UGUUGUGGAAUAUUUAAGCAACGGAGGAGUAGCAGACAACCACAAAGACUUCAAGGAACUAAGGUACAAUGAGUGUCUUAUGAACUUCAGCUGUAGUGGAAAGAACGGAAGCUCAGAAGGGAGAAUCACACAUGGCUUCCAACUUAAGAGCGCCUAUGAAAAUAACUUGAUGCCUUAUACCAAUUACACCUUUGAUUUCAAAGUAAGUAGCAGACUCUGGAUUAGCAUCUGACUAUUUUAAGUAAAAGCAUGUAAAUAAAACACUAUAAACUCUUAUGAUUAAGAGUUUUCAGGGCUGCUGGUUGUAGUGGCACAUACCUGUAGGAUUGAUUUGCUUGAAGAGUCUGUAGGGCUCUGGCCUCUGCCAGCACCAGGCACGCAGAUGUUUCACAGACAUACAUGCAGGCAAAGUACCCAUAGACAUAAAACAAAAGAAGAAUUAGCACUGAUUCAAAACCAAGGAAGCAAACAAAAAUCAAAGUUUCAAAAUGUCUGGCUUAAAUAUAAGCUAAACAAGGAAUUUUGUUGAGUUUCAUGAUCAUAAUUGAUGUCACUUAAAUUUUUUUAAACUUUUGUUCACAUUUCAGAUAAUAGUGAUAAUAGCUCAUAUUUCUAAAAUUUUUUACUAUGUAUCAGGCACUGUUGAAAUUCAGCUAAUCUUCAUCUGUUUAUCACCUGCGCUUAGCAAGAAUUUAAGCAUCUGAUAUAGCUAAACUUUCCUGGAAUGAACUCAUACACUAUUCUGUCCAAGUUUUCUUUGAAUAUCUUACUUAUGAUUUCCCAAGUUUCUUCUAGGGGUAAUAGGUUUUACUUAAUGUCGGUCUUAUCUACGUAGUUGCAUUAGUAUAUUCCCAAGUCAUCUAUGGAACACUUCACUUUUUAAGUUUUAAAAGAAAAGAAGUCUUAAAAAUAGGAACCUGCUGUUCAUGUUGAGGGCAAGAUACUCCCUGAUACACUGAUGGCAACGGCUCACUGUGGCUGUGGUUGCUCCCCUUUUGCAUUUUCUAAUCAUUUUGUCUGCUGGUAGCUGUUCUCUUUGCCUUUGUUUGACUUCCUCUCGUGUUCAGAAUGAGUUGUACAUCUUGUUUUACCCUAAAAAUACAUAUAUAGAUAUAGGAAGUUGUUAGUAUACAAAGCUUAGAGAAUUUAUAAUAUAAUACAAAAGGGAAAUAUUAAAUAGGCUCAUUCACAUCCUUUUUUCUUUUUUGUUUUGUUUUAUUUUUUGAUACUGGGUUUCUCUGUAUAUCCCUGACUGACUUGGAACUGACUGUGUAGACUGGAUGGCUUUGAAAUCAUAGAAAUAUGAUUCUGCCUUUGCCUCCUGUGUGCCGGGAUUAAAGAUUAAAGCUUUAUACCACCAUGCCUAGCCUCCUUUUUUAAAAG
rnacentral:lncRNA from 1 species